rnacentral:rRNA from 1 species
GAGUUUGAUCGUGGCUCAGGACGAACGCUGGCGGCGUGCCUAAUACAUGCAAGUCGAGCGAGUCUGCCUUGAAGAUCGGAGUGCUUGCACUCUGUGAAACAAGAUACAGGCUAGCGGCGGACGGGUGAGUAACACGUGGGUAACCUGCCCAAGAGAUCGGGAUAACACCUGGAAACAGAUGCUAAUACCGGAUAACAACAGAUGAUGCCUAUCAACUGUUUAAAAGAUGGUUCUGCUAUCACUCUUGGAUGGACCUGCGGUGCAUUAGCUAGUUGGUAGGGUAACGGCCUACCAAGGCGAUGAUGCAUAGCCGAGUUGAGAGACUGAUCGGCCACAUUGGGACUGAGACACGGCCCAAACUCCUACGGGAGGCAGCAGUAGGGAAUCUUCCACAAUGGACGCAAGUCUGAUGGAGCAACGCCGCGUGAGUGAAGAAGGGUUUCGCUCGUAAAGCUCUGUUGUUGGUGAAGAAGGACA